rnacentral:rRNA from 1 species
AUGGCGGGCAGCAGAUCCGAGUCUUACACCUCCCCCGUUGACUGCCGGGAGAUUGUCGCAGGCGACCCCAAGGAGGAGAUGACCGUCCAUGUUGCGCUCCGCCGCGCACGAGAGGAGUACGCUGGACAGCGGUCGGACUUCAUCCACCCGAAAUCCAUUGCGUCCGCCGAAGUGGCGCAUGGAUCCGGCGGGAGGCGCGUCGCCGUUGCCUUGCCGGAGGCGGUGCAGUUCAUCUGGCGUCCGAACACCGUGCCGAAGGCAACACCUAUUGAUGUUGUACUGAAGGAUGCUGCUUUGGAAAGCCAAAUCAUGGAAGUGCCUAAGAAGUCAGGCGACAUCACUGAGAACAACAAUGAUAAGAUGAAUGAUUUACUGCGAUCAAUUCUGAAAACACGGGAUAAUAUUCUUCAUAAGGAACACAUACUUCAAGAUCGAAGUGCUAAAUGUGAUAUGGACAUUCAGAAUAUCUUGAAUGAAGGGAAAAUGACACCAAAAGUGCUGACAAUAAUGGAAAAGUAUAAGGGAACCAACUCAAAUAUGAUGGAAGUUGCCAAUCCAUCUUGUUGUGGAGAUGGUGACAAAACUAGGAGAAAAAAGAGGAAGACACUGAAGGAGGCACUCCUCCAUAAUAAGUGCCAGGAGCUCAACGAGAUCUGCCGUGACAUCAAGUGUAUACCCCCAAGAUACACAGUAUUACCUUCACUAGAAGAUGGAAUGUUCCAUGCCCAUGUACAUUUUACAUGCCCUGGUUAUGACAUGAGCAUCACUGGUGGUCCUCAUCUGACCCCGGAUGGGGCAAGGUGCUCUGCAGCUGCCAUUCUGAUAACAGAGCUUCGCAAGAAGGCAACGAAAGAAGAAGAACAUGAACAUGACGCAAAUAUUCCUAGUUAA